rnacentral:pre_miRNA from 1 species
CUGGGGUACGGGGAUGGAUGGUCGACCAGUUGGAAAGUAAUUGUUCAGAAUGUACUUCACCUGGUCCACUAGCCGUCAGUGCCCACUGCAG